AUUGAACGCUGGCGGCGUGCCUAAUACAUGCAAGUCGAACGGAGUGGCGCACGGGUGAGUAAUGUAUAGCUAAUCUUCCCUACACUAGAGCACAACAGUUGGAAACGGCUGCUAAUACUCUAUAGUGUAGGAUGAGGCUAUAUUGUAUCAGCUAGUUGGUGAGGUAAUGGCUCACCAAGGCUAUGACGCAUGACUGGUCUGAGAGGAUGCUCAGUCCCGCGGGAACUGCGACACGGUCCAGACUGCUGGGGGAGGCAGCAGUAGGGAAUAUUGCUCGAUGGGGGAAACCCUGAAGGAGCAACGGCGCGUGGAGGAUGACACUUUUCGGAGCGUAAACUACUUUUGUUGGGGAGGCGGUAGCUGGAGAAUAAGCACCGGCUAACUACGUGCCAGCAGCCGCGGUAAUAC
rnacentral:rRNA from 1 species